AAUAAUGGGAGGAGGGGGGAUGGGGAAAGUCACCCCCAGCUUCCUGAGAACUGGCUCAACAGGUCUCAGGGUUGUUAGCCAGGCCACCUGAACAGGGGAGUCAACAGCUGCUUGGCUUCUAUUUUUUUCUGCCUUCUUCCCUUUCAACUUUCUCAGCUUCCUCAGAGUUAACCUCAUACACGUUUGCCUCAAGAGUCGGUUCCCCUCAGGCCUCAAUCUUCCAUCUCCAUCUCUACAUGUCCAGGCAGGAGCCUUCAGUAUAUGUGGUUCGUUUCUGUUUUCCCCUAGGCCUUGCUGUUUCAGAACUAGAGCAACUUUCUUCAUCUUAAAAUUCUCAGUCCCUCUUCUAUAAUUUAUAUCAGGAAAAAGGCAUAGUCAAAAGUUCUAACAGCAUCAGUGUUGUAAUACUAGAAAUCUCAACUUCCUUGUAGACAUUUCCAUGCCUGGAGCUAUUUCUCUGGAGUGACAGGAUAGGAGAGUCCCCUCCUGUACUAGUUCUCACAGGGUGGUGGCAGCUCCACUUGCCAGCCCCACCUCCUUAUCCCAAGUAGCCCCAAAUCCCCUUUGAAAGGAUGCAGUUCAGGUUUCAACAGAGCAACCUAAAGGACUUGAGGUGGAGUAGACAGGGUAUGGAAGGCUUAGAUCAAAUGUCCUGAGUGAGGCAGGAUCAGAUUGUCCCCAGGACAGAACAGCUGGGGAGAGCUACUAAAGACACUCUGGAUUAGAACAGCCCCAGGCCAGAACUAAGACUCAACAGCCCCUGGAUUAGUCCCGGCAAUGAAGAGGAGGAGAAGACACUGCACCAGGCCAUGCCUGGCAGGGAGUCUGGAGUUUCUGGUUUCUAAACUCAGGAAGGCGUCAGCCAGGGGAGGGGCCUGCAUGUAGGGGAAGGGUGAGAAACGGGCUGGGCAAGCUUCCUAUGUGAGGCUACGCAAGAAGAGGCAUCCAGAGAGAGGAUCUGCAAUAGUCUCCUGAAGCAGGAGAGUGAACACCAGCUCUGACCACCUGAGACACCCCUCCUGCUCCAAAGACUAUAACUCCAUUUGUCUUUCUGAGGCCUCAACUAACCCUGUACCACAAGAAUGGAGCCACUACUAGGAGCAAAAAUUGGCUGCCUAUUUGCCCUGCUGGUGCUCACUCUGGUCUGUGGCCUUAUUCCCAUCUGCUUCAAAUGGUUCCAGACUGCUACAGCCACAGGUUGUCACCGCCGGGUCCUCAGUUUCCUGGGCUGCACGUCUGCUGGCGUUUUCCUGGGAGCGGGGUUCAUGCACAUGACCGCUGAAGCCUUGGAGGGAAUUAAAUCAGAGAUCCAGAACUUGGUGAUACAGGUGAGCGGCAGACCUACCAGGCCAUGAGGCCAGAAUGAUGAACAGAACCAGGGGAAGAAAGGGGGAAAAGUGACAAAGCCAAGGACAGAAGGAACGACAAGGAAGAUGACGGCUCUUGUGUGGAGUGAUGGAAACAGAACAGGACAAAGAGUGAGGGGCAUUCUGAUGAUGGUGCUGAUUCAGCUUAUGUAAGUGUCUCCCACCAGCCCUUACCUGGACAGUAAGGAGAACCAGAGACUGCUUUCAUGCCCAGACCUUUUUGAGAGGAUUUAUGUGUGGAAUUCUAAGAAUUCCUCCUACCCCUCAGCUCUAGCACUGUUGUUGGCAAGGAAAGGUGGAGCCACUCAAUCCUUCUGGGCUUAUGAAACCCAGAGAGAACUCUUGUUUAACCUUCCAUUCUUUCUCUGGACCCUUUGAUAUGCUUCCUAUCAUUUCCCCGUAUUUCUAACCCUAUUGAUAUUCUUUCGCUUAUUUCCUCAGGUUUUCUUGUGGUCAAACGUCCAUGUCUCCUCUUGGCUUCGUUCCCCUUUUGUAUGUUCUGUUACCACACUUCCCAUUCUCUUCAGCCCAGUCCCAAUCCUGUGCAAUUUCUUCCCUUCCUUACUUCCCCCAGGGCUCAGAAGUAAAGAAACCACCAUCAAUGCGGGAGACCCGAGUUCGAUCCCUGGGUGGGGAAGAACCCCUGGAGAAGGAGAUGGCAGCCCACUCCAGUAUCCUUGCCUGGAAAAUCCCAUGGAACCUGGCGGGCUGCAGUCCAGAGGAUCACAAAGAGUUGUGAAUGAUUGAGCACAAACAGCUCACUUUCCCAUCUCACAACCCCUCUUUCUGUUCCCACCCAGAUGGACUAUCCCUACGGAGAGCUCAUCAUCUCCCUGGGCUUCUUCCUUGUCUUCUUUUUGGAGUCGCUGGCAUUGCAGUGCUGUCCGGGGGCUGCUGAGACACCCGAAGUGCAGGAACUGGGGACAGCUCAUGAGCUUGAACC